GGAAAAACAAAGUUGCUGCUGAUUCUAACUCAAGUGAAAUGCAGGGGAAAAAGCUAGCUGAUACUGCAUGAAAAUGUACAAAAUUAGACUGCCUAAAGAAUUAUUUCAACUUUCUAAGUACCAGGGAUGACUUAUCCAGCACUUUUUUCUCCUGACUGUGACUCCAUCUACAUGCAUAUAUUUCUGUAAAUGAUCUCUUCAAGAAAUAUUUUGUUGAUUAGAACAGAUUAUUGGCACAGUGGUCUGAUCUUAUUUCAGAGGAUGAAAGAUCAUUAACCCUGCAGGGAAAUCCUAACACUGAUGCUUCCAUCCACAGAUACAACAUUCACUUUUAAGUGAGUACCAGUCUGAUAUGAGUUGCUGAAGAUGGGUGAGCUGAGGAAGAAGCAAAUGAUGUUGGUGCUGUUAAGAUACUGGAAAUGGCCAGUUCUGCUGUGCAAAAGGGGCAGGACAAACAGCAUUCCCCGCAGAGAAUGCUUAUUAAGCAGCAUUUCUCAGUGGGAUAGUGCGAAACAGGCUCUUUUUCGUCUUCCCUCGUUGCCUGUUGGUAUUGAUUUACAAAGUCCUAAAUGGCUCAAGACUUUUCUGUCUAAGAGAGCUUCACAGCUGUGAUCAGGAGCAGUGCUUACAGUAGAGUCCCCAUCAUUGUAAAAGAAAAAGGGUAGCAUGAUAGAGCGUUCUCUCUACGGGGACAGAUUUGAAAAUGCUUCUCGUGUUUGCUUUGAAACAAUGUGGUGCAUGGCUGAUAUUUAGGGCACGCUAUUUGAGGGAAUCCAUGAAUGCCCCUAGAAAAGGAAGGAAGAAAUAAGGGGGGGUUGAUUAUGAUGAUUUGUUGGAUCUCUUUUUGUUCUGAGAUUUGUUGGCAGGCUUUGCUACUAAUUUGAUCUCAUUUGUUUUGGUAAUUUGAUCUUUUGUUUUUGUAAUUCAUGGAAAAGUCACUAGAAAGAUGCUGCCUUAGAACAUAUUUAUACAUUUAAGAAAUAACAGUGAGUCUUUAAUAGAUAUUGCUAAAUACCAUUGAAAUUGAUGGAAUUUUAUUUCUAGGGGAUGAUUUUAAACAUCUGUAGGAAACAUUUUAGAAGACUUGAUGACAUAAUAUCAUAAUCAUUAUUGUCUUGUGUUUUCUAUUAGACUCAUAUUUGUGUCUUUGAAGUAAAGACACUAAAAUAUUGACAUUUCUUUUUCUGCCUUGCUAGAUAGAAAGUUCUUUGAGACAUGCGAUUGUUUGAUUGGAGAUGGGCAUUAAAAUCCAGUGUUCUCAAAAGGCUAUGUCUGGCUUUAUGAACUAUUUCUUUGUUUGAUUAUGUUGUUGCCUGUUGGAAACUUG
rnacentral:lncRNA from 1 species